UACAGAGGGUGCAAGCGUUAAUCGGAAUUACUGGGCGUAAAGCGUGCGUAGACGGUUAUUUAAGUCAGGUGUGAAAGCCCCGGGCUCAACCUGGGAAUUGCAUUUGAGACUGAAUAGCUAGGGUGCGGAAGAGGGAAGCGGAAUUUCCGGUGUAGCGGUGAAAUGCGUAGAUAUCUGGAGGAACACCGGUGGCGAAGGCGGCAUCCUGGACCGGUAUUGACGCUGAUGCGCGAAAGCCAGGGGAGCAAGCGGG
rnacentral:rRNA from 1 species